rnacentral:rRNA from 1 species
GACGUAGGGGGCCAGCGUUGUUCGGAAUUACUGGGUGUAAAGGGUUCGUAGGCGGUGCGGCAAGUCGGGAGUGAAAUCUCUGGGCUUAACCCAGAGGCUGCUUCCGAAACUGCUGUGCUUGAGUGUGGGAGAGGCGCGUGGAAUUGCAGGUGUAGCGGUGAAAUGCGUAGAUAUCUGCAGGAACACCCGUAGCGAAAGCGGCGCGCUGGACCACUACUGACGCUGAGGAACGAAAGCUAGGGGAGCAAACAGG